UACGUAGGGUGCGAGCGUUAAUCGGAAUUACUGGGCGUAAAGCGUGCGCAGGCGGUUCGUUGUGUCGGCGGGGAAAGCCCCGGGCUCAACCUGGGAAUGGCCGUUGAAACUGGCGAACUGGAGUGUGGCAGAGGGGGGUGGAAUUCCGCGUGUAGCAGUGAAAUGCGUAGAUAUCGGGAAGAACACCCGUGGCGAAGGCGGCUCUCUGGGACGGUACUGACGCUGAGACGCGAAAGCGUGGGGAGCGAACAGG
rnacentral:rRNA from 1 species